rnacentral:rRNA from 1 species
AGUCGAACGAGAAAGUGGAGCAUCCAUGAGUAAAGUGGCGUACGGGUGAGUAACACGUGGAUGAUCUGCCCUGAAGUGGGGAAUAACAAUGGGAAACCGUUGCUAAUACCGCAUAAUCCCGAGAGGGGAAAGCGGCUCUGUAAAAGGAGCGGCGCUUAAGGAGGAGUCCGCGGCCGAUUAGCUAGUUGGUAGGGUAAUGGCCUACCAAGGCAACGAUCGGUAGCCGGCCUGAGAGGGCACACGGCCACACUGGCACUGAAACACGGGCCAGACUCCUACGGGAGGCAGCAGUGGGGAAUCUUGCACAAUGGAGGAAACUCUGAUGCAGCGACGCCGCGUGAGCGAUGAAGCCCUUCGGGGUGUACAGCUCUUUCGGCAGGGAAGAUAAUGACGGUACCUGCAGAAGCAGCUGCGGCUAACUACGUGCCAGCAGCCGCGGUAAUACGUAGGCAGCAAGCGUUGUUCGGAGUUACUGGGCGUAAAGGGUGUGUAGGCGGCUUUCUAAGUUUGUUGUGAAAUCUCCCGGCUCAACCGGGAGGGUGCGGCGAAGACUGGAAGGCUAGAGUAUGGGAAUGGGAGAGUGGAAUUCCUGGUGUAGCGGUGAAAUGCGUAGAUAUCAGGAGGAACACCUGCGGGUGUAGACGGCUCUCUGGACCAUUACUGACGCUGAGACACGAAAGCGUGGGUAGCAAACAGGAUUAGAUACCCUGGUAGUCCACGCCCUAAACGAUGCAAUAUUUGGUGUGGGCCAUUCAUUUGGUCUGUGCCGGAGCUAACGCGUUAAAUAUGC